UGGGGAAUUUUGGACAAUGGGCGAAAGCCUGAUCCAGCAAUGCCGCGUGUGUGAAGAAGGCCUUCGGGUUGUAAAGCACUUUUGUCCGGAAAGAAAUCCUUGGCUCUAAUACAGUCGGGGGAUGACGGUACCGGAAGAAUAAGCACCGGCUAACUACGUGCCAGCAGCCGCGGUAAUACGUAGGGUGCAAGCGUUAAUCGGAAUUACUGGGCGUAAAGCGUGCGCAGGCGGUUUGCUAAGACCGAUGUGAAAUCCCCGGGCUCAACCUGGGAACUGCAUUGGUGACUGGCGGGCUAGAGUAUGGCAGAGGGGGGUAGAAUUCCACGUGUAGCAGUGAAAUGCGUAGAGAUGUGGAGGAAUACCGAUGGCGAAGGCAGCCCCCUGGGCCAAUACUGACGCUCAUGCACGAAAGCGUGGGGAGCAAACAGGAUUAGAUACCCUGGUAGUCCACGCCCUAAACGAUGUCAACUAGUUGUUGGGGAUUCAUUUCCUUAGUAACGUAGCUAACGCGUGAAGUUGACCGCCUGGGGAGUACGGUCGCAAGAUUAAAACUCAAAUGAAUUGACGGGGUCAUAGC
rnacentral:rRNA from 1 species